AGUGAACGCUGGCGGUAGGCCUAACACAUGCAAGUCGAACGGCAGCACAGUAAGAGCUUGCUCUUACGGGUGGCGAGUGGCGGACGGGUGAGGAAUACAUCGGAAUCUACUUUUUCGUGGGGGAUAACGUAGGGAAACUUACGCUAAUACCGCAUACGACCUACGGGUGAAAGCAGGGGAUCUUCGGACCUUGCGCGAUUGAAUGAGCCGAUGUCGGAUUAGCUAGUUGGCGGGGUAAAGGCCCACCAAGGCGACGAUCCGUAGCUGGUCUGAGAGGAUGAUCAGCCACACUGGAACUGAGACACGGUCCAGACUCCUACGGGAGGUAGCAGUGGGGAAUAUUGGACAAUGGGCGCAAGCCUGAUCCAGCCAUACCGCGUGGGUGAAGAAGGCCUUCGGGUUGUAAAGCCCUUUUGUUGGGAAAGAAAAGCAGCAGGUUAAUACCCCGCUGUUCUGACGGUACCCAAAGAAUAAGCACCGGCUAACUUCGU
rnacentral:rRNA from 1 species